rnacentral:rRNA from 1 species
AUGCAGUCGAGCGGUAACAGGGGUAGCUUGCUACCCGCUGACGAGCGGCGGACGGGUGAGUAAUGCAUAGGAAUCUGCCCGAUAGUGGGGGAUAACCUGGGGAAACCCAGGCUAAUACCGCAUACGUCCUACGGGAGAAAGGGGGCUCCGGCUCCCGCUAUUGGAUGAGCCUAUGUCGGAUUAGCUAGUUGGUGAGGUAAUGGCUUACCAAGGCAACGAUCCGUAGCUGGUCUGAGAGGAUGAUCAGCCACAUCGGGACUGAGACACGGCCCGAACUCCUACGGGAGGCAGCAGUGGGGAAUAUUGGACAAUGGGGGCAACCCUGAUCCAGCCAUGCCGCGUGUGUGAAGAAGGCCCUCGGGUUGUAAAGCACUUUCAGCGAGGAAGAACGCCUAUCGGUUAAUACCCGGUAGGAAAGACAUCACUCGCAGAAGAAGCACCGGCUAACUCCGUGCCAGCAGCCGCGGUAAUACGGAGGGUGCAAGCGUUAAUCGGAAUUACUGGGCGUAAAGCGCGCGUAGGUGGCUUGAUAAGCCGGUUGUGAAAGCCCCGGGCUCAACCUGGGAACGGCAUCCGGAACUGUCAGGCUAGAGUGCAGGAGAGGAAGGUAGAAUUCCCGGUGUAGCGGUGAAAUGCGUAGAGAUCGGGAGGAAUACCAGUGGCGAAGGCGGCCUUCUGGACUGACACUGACACUGAGGUG